AGAGUCUGAUCCUGGCUCAGGAUGAACGCUAGCUACAGGCUUAACACAUGCAAGUCGAGGGGAAACGACAUCGAAAGCUUGCUUUUGAUGGGCGUCGACCGGCGCACGGGUGAGUAACGCGUAUCCAACCUGCCCACCACUUGGGGAUAACCUUGCGAAAGUAAGACUAAUACCCAAUGAUAUCUCUAGAAGACAUCUGAAGGAGAUUAAAGAUUUAUCGGUGAUGGAUGGGGAUGCGUCUGAUUAGCUUGUUGGCGGGGUAACGGCCCACCAAGGCAACGAUCAGUAGGGGUUCUGAGAGGAAGGUCCCCCACAUUGGAACUGAGACACGGUCCAAACUCCUACGGGAGGCAGCAGUGAGGAAUAUUGGUCAAUGGACGAGAGUCUGAACCAGCCAAGUAGCGUGCAGGAUGACGGCCCUAUGGGUUGUAAACUGCUUUUAUAAGGGAAUAAAGUGAGUCUCGUGAGAUUUUUUGCAUGUACCUUAUGAAUAAGGACCGGCUAAUUCCGUGCCAGCAGCCGCGGUAAUACGGAAGGUCCGGGCGUUAUCCGGAUUUAUUGGGUUUAAAGGGAGCGUAGGCCGGAGAUUAAGCGUGUUGUGAAAUGUAGAUGCUCAACAUCUGCACUGCAGCGCGAACUGGUUUCCUUGAGUACGCACAAAGUGGGCGGAAUUCGUGGUGUAGCGGUGAAAUGCUUAGAUAUCACGAAGAACUCCGAUUGCGAAGGCAGCUCACUGGAGCGCAACUGACGCUGAAGCUCGAAAGUGCGGGUAUCGAACAGGAUUAGAUACCCUGGUAGUCCGCACGGUAAACGAUGGAUGCCCGCUGUUGGUCUGAAUAGGUCAGCGGCCAAGCGAAAGCAUUAAGCAUCCCACCUGGGGAGUACGCCGGCAACGGUGAAAC
rnacentral:rRNA from 1 species